rnacentral:lncRNA from 10 species
CAUUCUGAAUUUGUCUGAUGAUUUCCUUGUGAUACAUGAAACUGGUUCCUCUAUUCCCUGUCUCUAAGAGGGAAGUUCUAAAAGCUUAAUGAGAUUUAGGGUAAAUAUUUUUUGGCAAGCGUAUUGCAUAGAUGAUGAUGUGUUUUCAUAUUCAUCAGGAUCCACACAUCUGUGUAUCUCACUGUCGGUGUGGUGUUUGAUUUUCUGGUGGCCAUGGAACUCUCCGUUGUAAAGAAAAACAUCUUCUCUCAGCAAGUGGGCAAAACUACCAGCAAGUGUGAGCUGCUGGUGUACAGCAAGUGUGAAAUGCAGCAAAGACUCACAGACCU